rnacentral:rRNA from 1 species
AGUUCGGAUCGGAGUCUGCAACCCGACUCCGUGAAGCUGGAUUCGCUAGUGAUCGCGCAUCAGCCAUGGCGCGGUGAAUACGUUCCCGGGCCUUGUACACACCGCCCGUCAAGCCAUGGGAGCCGGGAGCGCUUGAAGUGCGUCGCCGCGAGGCGCGCCCUAGAGCGAGACCGGUGACUGGGGCUAAGUCGUAACAAGGUACC